rnacentral:rRNA from 1 species
CAGCCGCCGCGGGAAUACGUAGGGUGCAAGCGUUAAUCGGAAUUACUGGGCGUAAAGGGUGCGUAGGCGGGUCUUUAAGUCAGGGGUGAAAUCCUGGAGCUCAACUCCAGAACUGCCUUUGAUACUGAAGAUCUUGAGUUCGGGAGAGGUGAGUGGAACUGCGAGUGUAGAGGUGAAAUUCGUAGAUAUUCGCAAGAACACCAGAGGCGAAGGCGGCUCACUGGCCCGAUACUGACGCUGAGGCACGAAAGCGUGGGGAGCAAACAGGAUUAGAGACCCCAGUAGUCCCUGUCUCUUAUAC